rnacentral:rRNA from 1 species
AGCAGCCGCGGUAAUUCCAGCUCCAAUAGCGUAUAUUAAAGUUGUUGCAGUUAAAAAGCUCGUAGUUGAAUUUCGGAAUCGACGGAUUGGUCGCGCCUUCGGUGUGUACUGGUCUUGCCGGUUUCUCCCUUCUGACGAACCACGAUGUCAUUAAUUUGGUGUCGUGGGGAAUCAGGACUGUUACUUUGAAAAAAUUAGAGUGUUUAAAGCAGGCAUUAGCUUGAAUACAUUAGCAUGGAAUAAUGAAAUAGGACGUUUGAUCUUAUUUUGUUGGUUUCUAGGAUCGACGUAAUGAUUAAUAGGGAUAGUUGGGGGCAUUAGUAUUCAAUUGUCAGAGGUGAAAUUCUUGGAUUUAUUGAAGACUAACUACUGCGAAAGCAUUUGCCAAGGAUGUUUUCAUUAAUCAAGAACGAAAGUUAGGGGAUCGAAGACGAUCAGAUACCGUCGUAGUCUUAACCAUAAACUAUACCGACUAGGGAUCGGAUGAUGUUAAUUUUUUAAUGUACUCAUUCGGCGCCUU